UCCCUGGUGGCUUAGAGGGUAAAGCAUCUGCCUGCAAUGCAAGAGACCUGGGUUCGAUCCCUGCCCCUGGAG
rnacentral:tRNA from 1 species